UCCUCUUUUCAAAAUUUCCGAAGGGCCGCUUUUGGUCUGUUUUCCGGCGAGAAAUCCGAAGAGGAAAAGAGCUCGAAGCGGCGAAUUUGAUGGAAGAUAUGUGGAGAAGCGAAAAAAACUGAUUCGAUUAAUUCCGUUGGGUUUUGGAAAAUCUUCGGAAUAUGAUGUUUUAAUAGUUUUCAAUCUGAAUUUCUAUUCUCUUCGCUGCUCGCUCUUUCCUUAUCUCGUUUCUCUCUCGGCUCUCGGCUAUCCAAACGCAGCCCUCCGCCCCUGAUGAUGAUGUUGCUCUGAAGCCUAUGUGUUCGAAUAACAUUUCUCGUUCUAGAAUGAGGGACUCAAGAGGCUUUCUUGAUGCAUACAUAGAACAGGCAGAGAAAAACCGCCAGUCAUUGGAAUUUUUGCUCUCAAAGAGUAAUUUGAUGGAUAGGUGUAUGUAUACAUCUGAUCAGGCAUCGAACAUGGCCGAAUGUAAGAUGAUGUUGAAGAGAAGCAGAUUCUUGGCUAUGUCAAAGGAUCAGAUAAAUGUUCAUAUUUGAGUUAUACACUGGUCCUCUGUAAUUAACUGUUUUGCCUAGCUGAAAUCAAUAAAAUAUAAAUACAUUUUGAAACAGGAAAA